rnacentral:snRNA from 1 species
UACGAACCGUGAAAGCGUG